UUCUAUGGGCAUUGAUUUUUGGUGAUUUGGAGUUGAUAUGACUUUGUAAGAGCUUUGCAAAGUGGAGGUUUGUUUCGGAUGACUUGGGUUUUAUGAAAUAAAAUAGGGUUUAUGUUUUGAGUGAUUUCGAGAGUUUUGUUGUAGAUCUACGGAUGAAUUUUUUUGAGUUCAUGGUUAUAGUUGUGUUAAAUAUAUGUUGUGAAUUUGAGCUCGAUCUAACGGUUAAAAUGAGAGAUAUUGAGGUUUAAGUGGGUCAAGGUCUCAGAAAGUAGAAUUUUAGGUCUAGUGAGGGUUUUUAAGAUUUCAUGCAAUCUACUAGUUAGAUUGGAAUAAAACUUGUGUGAGAGGGUAUAAGACUUGUUUUUCUAUGUCCAUGAGAAAUUUGAAACCAAUCGAACAACGCAAAAAAGAGAAAUUGGCUCUGGAAGGUUAGCAUCAAGAUUAGAGAAGGAGGCCGGCUAACACCCGAACACAUUUUUGAGGUUUUUGUCAAUUUGGUAACUCCGAUCCUUUUCAAAUUUUUUUUGCUUGUUUUAAACUUGAUUUUUAAGAAUUACGAAAAUUUUAAAUUGAGAUCGACGGUUUAUUCAUUAGAUAUUGAGGUUUAAAUCUGUCAUAGGAAUUACUAGGAUUUGGAUUAGGGUUUGGCUAGGGUUCGAUCUACGGUUUGAUUUAGAGUUUAGGAUUUGGAUUAGGGUUUGAUUAGGGUUUGAUUUAGGGUUUGGAUUAGGAUUUGGAUUAGGGUUUAGAGUUUGGUUAGGAUUUGAUUUAGGAUUUGGAUUAGGAUUUGGAUUAGGAUUUGAUUUAGGAUUUGGAUUAGGGUUUGGAUUAGGGUUUGAUUUAGGGUUUGGUUAGGAUUUGAUUUAAGGUUUGGUUUAGAAUUUAGGGUUUGGAUUAGGGUUUAGGGUUGGAUUAGAGUUUGGAUUAGGAUUUAGGAUUUGGUUUAAGAUUUGGUUUAGGAUUUAGGAUUUGAAAUAGGAUUUGAUUUAGGAUUUAAUUUAAGGUUUGUUUAGGAUUUGACUUAAGGUUUAGGAUUUAUUAGGGUUUAAGAUUUAAUUAGGUGUGGUCUAAAGUUUGAGUGAAAUUCAAUAGGGUUUUAACUAGAAUUAAAUUAAGGUUGAAUUGACAUAUAUUUGAGUAAUAUUUGUGAUCAUUCUAAUAUUUCUUUAAGAAUUUUAUUGUUUGUUUGAAAUUUCUUUGAAUUGUUUUGAAUUUGAUUAUGUUUAUUUACCAUUAUUAUAUUCUAAUUAGAGCAUUUUUAAUAUUCUAUUAGA
rnacentral:lncRNA from 1 species